rnacentral:rRNA from 1 species
AGUGAACGCUGGCGGUAGGCCUAACACAUGCAAGUCGAACGGCAGCACAGUAAGAGCUUGCUCUUACGGGUGGCGAGUGGCGGACGGGUGAGGAAUACAUCGGAAUCUACUUUUUCGUGGGGGAUAACGUAGGGAAACUUACGCUAAUACCGCAUACGACCUACGGGUGAAGCAGGGGAUCUUCGGACCUUGCGCGAUUGAAUGAGCCGAUGUCGGAUUAGCUAGUUGGCGGGGUAAAGGCCCACCAAGGCGACGAUCCGUAGCUGGUCUGAGAGGAUGAUCAGCCACACUGGAACUGAGACACGGUCCAGACUCCUACGGGAGGCAGCAGUGGGGAAUAUUGGACAAUGGGCGCAAGCCUGAUCCAGCCAUACCGCGUGGGUGAAGAAGGCCUUCGGGUUGUAAAGCCCUUUUGUUGGGAAAGAAAAGCAGCAGGUUAAUACCCCGCUGUUCUGACGGUACCCAAAGAAUAAGCACCGGCUAACUUCGU